rnacentral:rRNA from 1 species
UACGUAGGUGGCAAGCGUUGUCCGGAAUUAUUGGGCGUAAAGCGCGCGCAGGUGGUUCUUUUAAGUCUGAUGUGAAAGCCCACGGCUCAACCGUGGAGGGUCAUUGGAAACUGGGGGAACUUGAGUGCAGAAGAGGAUCGCGGAAUUCCCGGUGUAGAGGUGAAAAUUCGUAGAUAUCGGGAGGAACACCAGUGGCGAAGGCGGCGAUCUGGGAAGAUACUGACGCUGAGGCGCGAAAGUGUGGGGGAGCGAACAGG